AAAGUAAGGGCCAGACACAUGAACCCUGUCUGCCAGUCCUAUAUAUCACGCCUCUUUAGAGCUCCUCUUCUUGCUGUUCAUCAGGCUAAUGAUGUUAAUUAAUGAGCUGUUCUUGUUUGUUUGAAGGGAGAUCCUGGUCCACCAGGCAAAGGAGUGGAAAUGAAGGAUCUGGAGAGGCUUUUUGAAGCAAAUGGUAUCAAGCUGGCCCUGCUGAAGGACCUCACCAACGCGCUCCUGCAGAAUGGACUGGAAGGGCUGGUCCAGCAGCUGGGCAGCUCCAGGAAAAGCAAGGCUUCAAGGAGAAAGCAAGAGCCUAAGCAAGCUCCUGACCACAGCGAUGUGUUUGAUACGUCUCGUGAUGCUGUGGCCAGUGCAGAGGUGGGUGAAGAAGCACAGAGUCUAGCUGUGGAGGCUCAGUUUGGGGUUCUGGUGUCUGGAGGACAACUCAUUAAGGGUCCUGCUCGUGGUUAUGAACCAGCGUACCAGCCCCUGGGAAACCCGUCUGAGAAAGUGAUGGGGUCCUUGGAGAAAACGUCUGAGGAGAGAAGGAAAGAGAAAGACUCAAGCGGAACCAACACUUGUUUCAGCAAUGAAAAUGCAAAUUCUGGCAACGAUGGCUCUGCAUUACCGACGCGCGUUAGAGCAAGGAGAUCUGCUGGGCAUGACAGGCACAUGGUUCGCUCCCCUGGUGCGCCAGGAGGUCAAAAACCCCCAUCUGGACACGCGACAUACCCCGGCCCUCAGCACUCGAGGAGGAUUAAGAAGCAGGAAACAGGCCCAGUGGAUCUACCGUCCCGCAGCCAAAAGGUCAGUGUGUUUGUAUAAGCUUUCAGUACAGAUGUACAAGAAAGAGAAUUUAAACAUCA
rnacentral:lncRNA from 1 species